UUUUCGCCGACGAUGCUGUAUUCUUUCUGAAUGGUACCUUAUUGGAGUGUCAAAAUCUGUCUAACAUUCUAAAUCAAUAUUGCUUAGCAUCAGGACAAAAAAUUAAUCGUAACAAAUUAGGAAUUUUCUUUAAUUCCUCUUGUCCUAUUGCACUUCAGGAAAAUUUAGCUGCUGAAUUACGGGUACCAGUUUUACAUCAUUGUGGGAAGUAUCUUGGGAUACCUACUGAAUGGGGAAGAUAAAAAAAAGAUAUGUUUUCAUGGCUGCUGACUAGAGUUCAAUCGAAACUAGAAGGUUGGAAGGAGAAAAUGAUCUCUAAGGGAGGGAAAGAAGUUCUAUUAAAGGCAGUUAUCCAAUCUAUCCCUCAAUAUGCAAUGUCUGUAUUUAAAAUCCCUAUCUCUUUAUGCAAGUUUAUUGAAAAAAGAAUGGCCAAAUUCUGGUGGAACAACGAUACAAGCAGAUCUGGUGUACAUUGGCAGAGCUGGGGAAACCUACAGAACCGAAAGAAUCAGGGAGGAUUGGGUUUCAGGAAUUUAGUCACUUUUAAUAAUGCCAUGCUCGGUAAGCAAGCAUGGCGCCUUCUAACUCAGCCAUUAUCUUUGUGGAGCAAGCUUUUCAAGGGUCUUUAUUUCCCUUCUUCUACAUUUUUACAAGCUAACAAAGGCUCUCGCCCGUCCUGGGGCUGGCAGAGCUUACUUUGUGGAAGAAAUUCAAUUGAAACACAUGUCAGUUGGUCAGUAGGAAAUGGAAAGAGCAUCAACAUAAGACAAGACAGAUGGCUUCCCAUGGGUAUUCUAUCUGGACCUAAAGCUCCCGAAGAACCUACACUAGUAGCUGAUCUUAUUGACCCUGCUACCAGUUCAUGGAGAGUUGAAUUAUUAUCCAGGUUUUUCGAAAUGCCAAUCAUUCAACAGAUCACAUGCAUCCAACUCAGACCAAAUUACACCACAGAUGCACUUAUCUGGACAGCUACCAAACAUGGCACAUUUACAGUCAAGUCUGCAUAUCAUGCAAUUAUGCAAUCACAAUCACACACCUCAGACUCAACCGCAUCAUCCUCAUAUCAAAUUCCUACCUGGUUAUGGCGUUCUAUAUGGAAAAUGCCUGCUGCUCCUAAAAUCCGCGCCUUCCUUUGGUCUAUCUGCAACAACGCCUUGGCUACGAGAGAGAAUCUGCACAGAAGACACAUAUUAUACAGUCCUUGCUGUUCUUUGUGUGAAAACAGGUCCCCAGAAUCUUUAGAGCACUUAUUCUUACUUUGCUCAUGGACUCAGGAAGUUUGGACACAUCCCCGCAUUCGUGUCUCGAUUGAUCCCACCCACAUCCAUCGUCUGGACUCAUGGAUCACCUCUACGAUCGAGACAGAGCCUCGAUUACCUCGGCUGGCCUUACUCUCUCAUCUCAUGUGGCAGAUCUGGAAGGCUCGGAAUGCCUUCGUC
rnacentral:lncRNA from 1 species